rnacentral:rRNA from 1 species
CCUACGGGUGGCAGCAGUGGGGAAUAUUGGACAAUGAGCGAAAGCCUGAUCCAGCCAUGCCGCGUGUGUGAAGAAGGCCUUCGGGUUGUGAAGCACUUUCAGUGGGGAAGAAAGCCUUGGGGCUAAUACCCUCGAGGAAGGACAUCACCCACAGAAGAAGCACCGGCUAACUCCGUGCCAGCAGCCGCGGUAAUACGGAGGGUGCGAGCGUUAAUCGGAAUUACUGGGCGUAAAGCGCGCGUAGGCGGUCUGAUAAGCCGGUUGUGAAAGCCCCGGGCUCAACCUGGGAACGGCAUCCGGAACUGUCAGGCUAGAGUGCAGGAGAGGAAGGUAGAAUUCCCGGUGUAGCGGUGAAAUGCGUAGAGAUCGGGAGGAAUACCAGUGGCGAAGGCGGCCUUCUGGACUGACACUGACGCUGAGGUGCGAAAGCGUGGGUAGCAAACAGGAUUAGAUACCCUGGUAGUC